UGGGGAAUUUUGGACAAUGGGCGAAAGCCUGAUCCAGCAAUGCCGCGUGUGUGAAGAAGGCCUUCGGGUUGUAAAGCACUUUUGUCCGGAAAGAAAUCCUUGGCUCUAAUACAGUCGGGGGAUGACGGUACCGGAAGAAUAAGCACCGGCUAACUACGUGCCAGCAGCCGCGGUAAUACGUAGGGUGCAAGCGUUAAUCGGAAUUACUGGGCGUAAAGCGUGCGCAGGCGGUUUGCUAAGACCGAUGUGAAAUCCCCGGGCUCAACCUGGGAACUGCAUUGGUGACUGGCAGGCUAGAGUAUGGCAGAGGGGGGUAGAAUUCCACGUGUAGCAGUGAAAUGCGUAGAGAUGUGGAGGAAUACCGAUGGCGAAGGCAGCCCCCUGGGCCAAUACUGACGCUCAUGCACGAAAGCGUGGGGAGCAAACAGGAUUAGAUACCCCUGGUAGUCCACGCCCUAAACGAUGUCAACUAGUUGUUGGGGGAUUCAUUUCCUUAGUAACGUAGCUAACGCGUGAAGUUGACCGCCUGGGGAGUACGGUCGCAAGAUUAAACUCAAUGAAUUGACGGGGUCAUAGCUG
rnacentral:rRNA from 1 species